AUUCUUUAUGCGUGAAAUGGAUUCGUCUGCCCAAGGAUGGGUCUGCGGCCUAUCAGGUAGUAGUGGGUGUAAUGUACCUACUAGCCGACGACGGGUACGGGUUGUGAGAGCAAGAGCCCGGAGAUGGAUUCUGAGACAUGAAUCCAGGCCCUACGGGGCGCAGCAGGCGCGAAGACUUUACAAUGCGGGAAACCGUGAUAAGGGGACACCGAGUGCCAGCAUCAUAUGCUGGCUGUCCGGGUGUGUAAAAUACACCUGUUAGCAAGGGCCGGGCAAGACCGGUGCCAGCCGCCGCGGUAACACCGGCGGCCCGAGUGGUGAUCGUGAUUAUUGGGUCUAAGGGGUCCGUAGCCGGUUUGGUCAGUCCUCCGGGAAAUCUGACGGCUUAACCGUUAGGCUUUCGGGGGAUACUGCCAGACUUGGAACCGGGAGAGGUAAGAGGUACUACAGGGGUAGGAGUGAAAUCUUGUAAUCCCUGUGGGACCACCUGUGGCGAAGGCGUCUUACCAGAACGGGUUCGACGGUGAGGGACGAAAGCUGGGGGCACGAACCGGAUUAGAUACCCGGGUAGUCCCAGCCGUAAACGAUGCUCGCUAGGUGUCAGGCAUGGCGCGACCGUGUCUGGUGCCGCAGGGAAGCCGUGA
rnacentral:rRNA from 1 species